UUAUUAAGUGGAAUUGCUGAUUAAACGGUCCGAUUAUGAGGGAAAAUCCAUCCCCUUUUCCUGCUGGGAAAGAGGGUGGGGGAAAAGAUAGCAGGAGCGGCCGGGCUGGGUGGAAUCCCUUCACAGUGGAAGAUGCUGGGCUUCCCUGUACUAUUUGUUAGAUGGAGAUGAGAAGAUGUGAAAUGUUAAUAUUCUGAACAUGCAGUGUUAAUAUUAAUGCUAUACAGGUACAUCGGAAAGAGAAUGGCUAAACAAGAGAACUUGAAGCAUUCACUGAUUUUACACAUCACAUUUCCAGAUAUUGGGUGAAUUUCUUCCAGUUUGUCCCUGUUUCGCUCCAGUCUUCAAUCACCCAUGAUUUUGAGAGCUGAAAGCAACUUUUCCAAGUUUUGGUAUUUCCUCCAAUGUCUUGAAGACACUUCCAAUGCUUUGCUUGCCAGGGAGAAAGCUAGGAUAAUCUCUUCCUAUCCCAUGCACAGAAGCUCACCAGACAGAGUCACUGAGAAAUGAUGUGACUGUUACUUAGAGAAAUGAUUCUUGCUGUCAGGCCUGGGAAAAACUACAGUGAGCUGUCCAUGGUCCUGUUUGGCAGACAUGCAGAGGAUCCAGGCGACACAGACGAGUACAGAUCUAGCGAUAUUAACAAAUGAUGGCAGAAUGUAACAUUCAGAGCCAUAAGUACAUGGCUGGGCUGGACAUCAGAACCAAAUGUUGUCAAUAUGAGUCCCUGAGAUUAUGAGUUAUUAUUUCAGGGGAAAACUUUAAAAGUUUAUGCCAAAAGAAGACUGGAAGAUACACAAUUUUUGGGAGAAAAUGCUAAUGUUUUAGGUAGAAUUAAAGAAACAUUUUGAACCUUGGAGUUCAUAGCCUGAGUUUAUUCAUGUCAAUGAGAUCUCCUCUGGAAUGCACAUGUUGUUCCAGCUGUGAGGUCAAUUCAAGAAUAAGAGUGACCUUUAACCAUUCCUCUAAUUUAGGGAAGGCACUAUCAGAGUUCCCCAACUCUGUCAUCCCAUAUCUCAUGCUGUGAAGGCUUAAAUAAUAAAGGGAUAAUGUCCGCAGAGAACA
rnacentral:lncRNA from 1 species